AGAGUUUGAUCCUGGCUCAGGAUGAACGCUGGCGGCGUGCCUAAGAUAUGCAAGUCGAGGGGGUUUAGACCCCCGGCGAACGGGUGAGUAACACGUGGGAACUUUCUACAAGUUCGGGAUAUCCCGCCGAAAGGCGGAGCAAUACCGGAUGUGGCCGCAAGGCUAAAGAUUUAUCGCUUGUAGUGAGGCCCGCGCCCCAUCAGCUAGUUGGUAAGGUAAAGGCUUACCAAGGCUACGACGGGUAGCGGAACCGAGAGGUUGAUCCGCCACACUGGGACUGCGACACGGCCCAGACUCCUACGGGAGGCAGCAGUUUGGAAUAUUGGACAAUGGACGAAAGCCUGAUGCAGCGACGCCGCGUGGGGGAUGAAGCUUUUCGGAGUGUAAACCCCUUUCGACCCGGACGAAUGCCCCGCAAGGGGACUGACGGUACGGGUAUAAGAAGCCCCGGCUAACUACGUGCCAGCAGCCGCGGUAAGACGUAGGGGGCCAGCGUUGCUCGGAAUUACUGGGUGUAAAGGGUUCGUAGGCGGUGCGGCAAGUCGGGAGUGAAAUCUCUGGGCUCAACCCAGAGGCUGCUUCCGAAACUGCCGUGCUUGAGUGUGGGAGAGGCGCGUGGAAUUGCAGGUGUAGCGGUGAAAUGCGUANAUAUCUGCAGGAACACCCGUGGCGAAAGCGGCGCGCUGGACCACAACUGACGCUNAGGAACGAAAGCUAGGGGAGCAAACA
rnacentral:rRNA from 1 species